rnacentral:rRNA from 1 species
AGCGAACGCUGGCGGCAGGCCUAACACAUGCAAGUCGAACGGCUCUUCGGAGCAGUGGCGGACGGGUGAGUAACGCGUGGGAAUGUGCCCUUUGGUACGGAACAACACAGGGAAACUUGUGCUAAUACCGUAUGUGCCCUUCGGGGGAAAGAUUUAUCGCCAUUGGAGCAGCCCGCGUUGGAUUAGGUAGUUGGUGAGGUAAAGGCUCACCAAGCCUACGAUCCAUAGCUGGUCUGAGAGGAUGACCAGCCACACUGGGACUGUGACACGGCCCAGACUCCUACGGGAGGCAGCAGUAGGGAAUCUUGCGCAAUGGGCGAAAGCCUGACGCAGCCAUGCCGCGUGUAUGAUGAAGGUCUUAGGAUUGUAAAAUACUUUCACCGGGGAAGAUAAUGACGGUACCCGGAGAAGAAGCCCCGGCUAACUUCGUGCCAGCAGCCGCCGUAAAAC